CGAGAGGUUCAGAAGAACUGNUAACUCUUCAAUCUGGAAAA
rnacentral:tRNA from 1 species